rnacentral:rRNA from 1 species
AGAGUUUGAUCAUGGCUCAGGACGAACGCUGGCGGCGUGCUUAACACAUGCAAGUCGAACGGUGACGAGGAGCUUGCUCCUCUGAUCAGUGGCGAACGGGUGAGUAACACGUGAGUAACCUGCCCCAGACUCUGGGAUAACAGUUGGAAACAGCUGCUAAUACCGGAUACGAGACGGAGAGGCAUCUCUACCGUCUGGAAAGUUUUUCGGUCUGGGAUGGACUCGCGGCCUAUCAGCUUGUUGGUGAGGUAAUGGCUCACCAAGGCGACGACGGGUAGCCGGCCUGAGAGGGCGACCGGCCACACUGGGACUGAGACACGGCCCAGACUCCUACGGGAGGCAGCAGUGGGGAAUAUUGCACAAUGGGCGAAAGCCUGAUGCAGCGACGCCGCGUGAGGGAUGACGGCCUUCGGGUUGUAAACCUCUUUCAGCAGGGAAGAAGCGAAAGUGACGGUACCUGCAGAAGAAGCACCGGCUAACUACGUGCCAGCAGCCGCGGUAAUACGUAGGGUGCGAGCGUUGUCCGGAAUUAUUGGGCGUAAAGAGCUUGUAGGCGGUUUGUCGCGUCUGCAGUGAAAAUCCGGGGCUCAACCCCAAGCCUGCACCGGAUACUGUCUCGCUUGAGUUCGGGAGGGGAGAGCGGAAUUCCUAGUGUAGCGGUGAAAUGCGCAGAUAUU